AGUCAACAUGCCCAGGGGACGUGGAUAACCUCGGGAAACUGAGGAUAAACCGCGAUAGGCCAUGAUUUCUGGAAUGGUUCAUGGCCGAAAUCUAUAUGGCCCCUGGAUUGGACUGCGGCCGAUCAGGCUGUUGGUGAGGUAAUGGCCCACCAAACCUGUAACCGGUACGGGCUCUGAGAGGAGGAGCCCGGAGAUGGGCACUGAGACAAGGGCCCAGGCCCUAUGGGGCGCAGCAGGCGCGAAAUCUCUGCAAUAGGCGAAAGCUUGACAGGGUUACUCUGAGUGAUUCCCGCUAAGGGGAUCUUUUGGCACCUUUAAAAAUGGUGCAGAAUAAGGGGUGGGCAAGUCUGGUGUCAGCCGCCGCGGUAAUACCAGCACCCCGAGUGGUCGGGACGAUUAUUGGGCCUAAAGCAUCCGUAGCCGGUACUGCAAGUCUUCCGUUAAAUCCACCUGCUCAACAGUUGGGCUGCGGGGGAUACUACAGCGCUAGGAGGCGGGAGAGGCAAGCGGUACUCAAUGGGUAGGGGUAAAAUCCGCUGAUCCAUUGAAGACCACCAGUGGCGAAGGCGGCUUGCCAGAACGCGCUCGACGGUGAGGGAUGAAAGCUGGGGGAGCAAACCGGAUUAGAUACCCGGGUAGUCCCAGCCGUAAACGAUGCAGACUCGGUGAUGGGCUGGCCUUGUGCCAACCCAGUGCCGCAGGGAAGCCGUUAAGUCUGCCGCCUGGGGAGUACGGUCGCAAGACUGAAACUUAA
rnacentral:rRNA from 1 species